rnacentral:lncRNA from 1 species
UUUUGGGGUGAUUAGGCCUUUCCCUGAGUUGGGUGUGCUUAAUGAACUGUUGGGCUCCGAGCAACCCUAAUUUGUUUGGCCUCGGCCAACCCCACCUGGACUGGGUGUAUCAUCUGGUAUCAGAGCUAGGGCCCAUUUUAAGAAGGUGGGAAUGAUUAGGACAUCCUCCACUAUUACCCGUUGGCAAAGACGCAAUUGGCCCAGUUGGCCCAAUUGUAGUCGGACGGUGACCGCGUGAGCCUCAGAAUUAUCCCACCUCGAUUAACUUGGGAGGAGGAAGCCAUUUUAAAAGGGAGAGCCACCCUUCCCCCAUUGUACUAGUCUUUUGGGGCGAUUGGGCCUUUCCCUGAGUUGGGUGUGCUUAAUGAACUGUUGGGCUCCGGGCAACCCUAAUUUGUUGGGCCUCGGCCAACCCCACCUAGGCUGGUGUAUCAUCUGGUAUCAGAGCUAGGGCCCAUUUUAAGAAGGUGGGAAUGAUGAGGACAUCCUCCACUAUUACCCGUUGGCAAAGACGCAAUUGGCCCAGUUGGCCCAAUUUUAGUCGGACGGUGACCGUGUGAGCCUCAGAAUUAUCCCACCUCGCUUAACUUGGGAGGAGGAAGCCACUUUAAAAGGGAGAGCCACCCUUCACCCAUUAGACUAGUC